rnacentral:tRNA from 1 species
GCCUCUAUAGCUCAGUGGCCAGAGCACUCGCCUUGUAAGCGAGCGGUCCUCGGUUCGAAUCCGAGUGGGGGCU